rnacentral:rRNA from 1 species
GAUGAACGCUAGCUACAGGCUUAACACAUGCAAGUCGAGGGACCGGCGCACGGGUGAGUAACACGUCUCCAACCUGCCCUUUACUCGGGGAUAGCCUUUCGACAGAAAGAUUAAUACCCGAUAUAAAGGAUGGGGAUGCGUUCCAUUAGGUUGUUGGUGAGGAAACGGCUCACCAAGCCUUCGAUGGAUAGGGGUUCUGUGAGGAAAGUCCCCCAAAUUGGAACUGGGACACGGUCCAAACGCCUACAGGAGGCAGCAAUGAGGAAUAUUGGUCAAAGGGCGCUAGACUGAACCAGCCAAGUAGGGUGAAGGAUGAAGGCUUAUGGGUCGUAAACUUCUUUUAUAUAAGAAUAUGUAUUAAAUGAAUAAGGAUCGGCUAACUCCGUGCCAGCAGCCGCGGUAAUAC